UUCCGGUUGAUCCCGCCGGACCCCACUGCUAUCGAGAUGGGACUAAGGUAUGCUAGUCGAACGACCAGAACUAUGUCUGGAAGUGGCACACUGCUCAGUAACACGUAGCUAACCUACCCUUAGGACGUGGAUACCCCCGAGAAAUUGGGGCUAAUAGGCGAUAGGUGUGAUGUCCUGGAAUGGUAUCACGCCCAAAGGUAUCCCAUACAUGUUUGGUAUACGCCUAAGGAUGGGGCUGCGGCCGAUCAGGCUGUUGGUGAGGUAAUGGCUCACCAAACCUUUGACCGGUACGGGCCAUGAGAGUGGUAGCCCGGAGAUGGACACUGAGACAAGGGUCCAGGCCCUACGGGGCGCAGCAGGCGCGAAACCUCCUCAAUGCACUAACGUGCGAAGGGGUUACCUCGAGUGCCACCUGAAGAAGGUGGCUUUUCCUUGGUCUAAAAAGCCUCGGGAAUAAGAGGGGGGCAAGACUGGUGUCAGCCGCCGCGGUAACACCAGCCCCUCGAGUGGUGGGGAUGAUUAUUUGGCCUAAAGCGUCCGUAGCCGGCCGGGUAAGUUUCCCGUUAAAUCCAACGUCUCAAGCGUUGGACUGCGGGAAAUACUGCCAGGCUAGAGAGUGGGAGAGGUCAGCGGUAUUCUGGGGGUAGGGGCGAAAUCCUUUGAUCCCCGGAGGACCACCAGUGGCGAAGGCUGCUGACUAGAACACGUCUGACGGUCAGGGACGAAAGCUGGGGUAGCGAACUGGAUUAGAUACCCGGGUAGUCCCAGCCGUAAACGAUGCAUGCUAGGUGUUGGGUUGGCCACGAGCCAAAUC
rnacentral:rRNA from 1 species